AGCGAACGCUGGCGGCAUGCUUAACACAUGCAAGUCGCGCGGGUGGUUUCGGCCAUCCGCGGCGGACGGGUGCGUAUCGCGUAGGAAUGUAUCCCGAGGUGGGGGACAACCCUGGGAAACUGGGGCUAAUACCGCAUGGGGCCUGUGGGUCAAAGCCUUAGGGCGCCUUGGGAGCAGCCUGCGUCCGAUUAGGUAGUUGGUGGGGUAAAGGCCUACCAAGCCUGCGAUCGGUAGCUGGUCUGAGAGGACGAUCAGCCACACUGGGACUGAGACACGGCCCAGACCCCUACGGGAGGCAGCAGUGGGGAAUAUUGGACAAUGGGCGCAAGCCUGAUCCAGCAAUGCCGCGUGGGUGAAGAAGGUCUUCGGAUUGUAAAGCCCUUUCGGCGGGGACGAUGAUGACGGUACCCGCAGAAGAAGCCCCGGCUAACUUCGUG
rnacentral:rRNA from 1 species